rnacentral:sRNA from 1 species
GCUGGGCAUGGUGGUGCAUGCCUGUAAUCCCAGUGGCUUGGGAGGCUGAAGCAGAGGAUCGUGCCUCAGCAAAAACGAGGGGCUAAAAACUCAGUGAGAUCCUCUCU